rnacentral:lncRNA from 1 species
AUGGUGAUACCAUGUUGAUUGACGGACAGCUUCCCUCUCACAGAAGAGCAAAGCUGGCAACUGCCUGUGGGUGGGCCUAAAGAAAGAUGUGUUCUGCCUCCCCUUGUAAGAAUUUCAGUUUAGAAACCUGAAAUACUGUUUGAAACACAAGUCUCCAGAUGAUAAUUACAGGCUUUGAGCAGAGGAAAGAGUAGUGAAGAAAUCCAGAGCUCUGUAAACAUUUCUGAAGAACGGUGUCAAAUGUAUGCAGAAGUUCAGCCUAGCCCAGGACUCUUGCUGCUCCAGAGCAUCCCAGCAACGGGAAACCCCCCAGACAUCUUCCCAAUGUCUCCCGCAGUCCAUUUGUCAAGGAAGUGAAGAUAAUUUAAAAGGAUCCGCAGAACUUGGACCCAGUCUUCUAAAGGAACCGGAGCAACUGUACAUGUGCAGUCACAGAGCAAGGGUGUGACAUGCUGGAGGUAGAGGGUGAUGGAGCCUGGAUGGGGCGCGGGAAACUACCUCUUCAUCAUUUCCCUUUGUUGUCCUUACUUCUCUU